rnacentral:rRNA from 1 species
GGGUUGUGAGGUUAAGCGACUAAGCGUACACGGUGGAUGCCUAGGCAAUCAGAGGCGAUGAAGGACGUGCUAAUCUGCGAUAAGCGUCGGUAAGGUGAUAUGAACCGUUAUACCCGACGAUUUC